rnacentral:lncRNA from 1 species
GUUUUCCCGUCCUCUUUCUUGAGUAUUUAUGUACGUGUACUAGAGUUAAGCGUGGGAGUUUUAACAAGCACA